rnacentral:lncRNA from 1 species
AUUGAUUAACUAAUUAAAAAAAGAUAAUUUUAAUUAAAAUAUUUCAAUUCAUUAACGAAGACGAAAAUUGUUCUAAGUUUUUUUAAUGAAGAAGAAAAUCUAGGAGAAUCAAGGAUAUUGUUUUCAGAAUGAUAAUGUGAUUUUUAAAAAUAUUUCUUUUUAAUUUAUAAUCUCUUGAGUUGUGAUAUAGUAUUUGAUAAACUUGUAGAUAUUCUAGACAGUGCAUGUGUAAACUGGUUGUCAAAUUUUUUUUUUUUGAUAUUAAUUUUUAUUUAAUAUUGAAUGAG